rnacentral:rRNA from 1 species
UACGAAGGGAGCUGGCGUUGUUCGGAAUCACUGGGCGUAAAGCGCACGUAGGCGGAUGUGUCAGUCAGGGGUGAAAUCCCGGAGCUCAACUUCGGAACUGCCUUUGAUACAGCACGUCUUGAGUCCGAUAGAGGUGGGUGGAAUUCCUAGUGUAGAGGUGAAAAUUCGUAGAUAUUAGGAAGAACACCGGUGGCGAAGGCGGCCCACUGGAUCGGUACUGACGCUGAGGUGCGAAAGCGUGGGGAGCAAACAGG